AUCCUUUUGUAGUUCAUAAGCGUGACGACUGGGUUUUCACACACUGUUUUGAGUUGCACUUCCCUCAAACCUUGCUCCGAUGUUGGCACAUUACCCAUCUGAUG